CAGAGGGACCUAGCGUUGUUCGGAAUAACUGGGCGUAAAGGGUGCGUAGGUGGCUACUUAAGUAAAGUGUUAAAUCCUUGGGCUCAACCCAAGAACCGCAUUUUAAACUGGGUGGCUUGAGUGUGGGAAAGGAAAGUGGAAUUCCUAGUGUAGAGGUGGAAUUCGUAGAUAUUAGGAGGAACACCAGAGGCGAAGGCGGCUUUCUAGAACACAACUGACACUGAGGCACGAAAGCGUGGGGAGCAAACAGGAUUAGAUACCCUGGUAGUCCACGCCCUAAACGAUGAGUGCUAGACGUUGGAAUUUUAUUUCCAGUGUCGCAGCUAACGCGUUAAGCACUCCGCCUGAGGAUUACGGUCGCAAGACUA
rnacentral:rRNA from 1 species